AUUGAACGCUGGCGGCAUGCCUUACACAUGCAAGUCGAACGGCAGCGGGGGAGAAGCUUGCUUUUCCUGCCGGCGAGUGGCGAACGGGUGAGUAAUACAUCGGAACGUGCCCUGUAGUGGGGGAUAACUAGUCGAAAGAUUAGCUAAUACCGCAUACGACCUGAGGGUGAAAGUGGGGGACCGCAAGGCCUCAUGCUAUAGGAGCGGCCGAUGUCUGAUUAGCGAGUUGGUGGGGUAAAGGCCUACCAAGGCGACGAUCAGUAGCUGGUCUGAGAGGACGAUCAGCCACACUGGGACUGAGACACGGCCCAGACUCCUACGGGAGGCAGCAGUGGGGAAUUUUGGACAAUGGGCGAAAGCCUGAUCCAGCAAUGCCGCGUGUGUGAAGAAGGCCUUCGGGUUGUAAAGCACUUUUGUCCGGAAAGAAAUGGCUCUGGUUAAUACCUGGGGUCGAUGACGGUACCGGAAGAAUAAGGACCGGCUAACUACGUGCCAGCCGCCGCAGUAAUAC
rnacentral:rRNA from 1 species